AAGUAUGGUCUCCAGCAUUCACAGCUAACAGAGAAGACCCAGCCAGCCCUGAGCUUGCUUAGUCACAGGGUGCACGGUCUGAGGCACUGCUGGAAAGGCAGUCAUGCACAGGGAGAGCCAGACCCAAAAUUAAGGGACUGUUCAAUUACGAACUCCCUCGUACACAGAACCCCAUAAAAUUUCAUAGGAAUACCCCUUGCAACCAUUGUUGUGGCCACAUGCAUCUCUGUGCUCAUUGUCCUUUUAUCCAGCUUGGUUAGAGUUUGGUUUUGGCAUGUGUCAUGGUUAAAGGCUUUCCUCCUACCAAAGAUGACCCACACUCUUCAGGUAUAGGCCCUUUUUCAUGAGGGCACUCACCAGCUUUUACAGAUGUUGUUAAAUGUGCCCCUCCCAGAAGCACUGCCUUCAAUCUCCCACAUGAGUUAGGCUACUUACACUUAGGAAAAGCAAGCCACAGUUUUUAAGGAGCAAAUGGAUUCUUCCCCCUCACACAGUUGUGAUAGUUUCAGUCUAGGCCUUCCUGGAGACCAGCUUGUAACCAGGAAGGAACUAGAGAAGUGACCAAGGAAGUAUUCCAUGCUAUUCCUUUACAUAAACUGAGGUAUAAAUAAAGCUGGUCAGAGAGACCUCGCUCUCUCUUCUUCCAGUGAGGUUUGGGAACGGUAGAUCCUUGUCUCGGUCUUGCUUAUCUGGGGCUGAGGCCUGCAGUGACUGUUGUGUACCAUGUGUGAGGGGAGAGUGCUGGGUUGCAUCUGGCUGUCCUGCUUUUCUCAAGGGAAGGAUACAUCCUGCCUUCGCUGGGCAGGGGUGACCUGGUGCAACCCUGUCUGCUGAAUGCACAGGGUUUGGUGCUGUUGCCUGUUGCCUGAAUGGAGCCACUGCCCUCAUGUGGGAUCCACAGAGGCUGAGGAAGAGCAGCCUGGCUUCCAGCACACCCCAAUCGACCUGCAGCCCCUCCACAAAGACCCAGCUCCUACCACAGGAUAAGCCACAACCUUACACUACAGCCACUGCAGGACCAACCAGACCCUUCGGAACCCCCCUCUCUCCAACCCUGUAACAGUGUGCUCUUCCAAUAUGCUCCCAGGACUGAAGCCCCACACAUAGAAUUACUUGCAGGCAGUCGGUGGGAUCCCAUGUCUGCCUCCCUCCUUACCUGCCACGUUCAGCUGCCCACCCAGGAACCAGGAGACCCUGCCCUGAUGCAGAUCGCAGUCCUGGACAGAGUGGAAGGGGGUGAUCCAGGGGUCACAAGAGAGGGGCAGAAAAAGGCUUUCCCUGCAAGUAGAGCUGUUCUCAGUAAGGCACACUGAUGGGAUCAACAGCAGACAUGAGAGGUUGGACACCAGCAUGGGGAACAGGAUCUGUCUGCCAUCAGGUACACUCAUUGCACGCUACACACCUGGUUUGUAUCAGAGCUGCUCUAAGAAAAUGGCACAUAAAUCACAGAUGCUGGAUGACUAGAAGUUGUUACAGCUCCAUAUCUCAAACACCUCAAUACUGAAUUCUUUUCUCACUGUAUAUACAUUAUUUACACCCCAUGGGCUAAAUCUAACACGUCAAACGACCAGGGAACAAAGACAAACAGGGGUUGGAUGAGCAGGCUGAACAUUUGACAGAAGAAAAACUGUGGGGAAAGGGUGCUCACAGUUGAAAGCAGGACAGAAAGGGGCACCUGGAAGUCACUGUCCUACAGCUUUUGGAGGGGGAAUAGUGCCCUACCGGGAUGGAAAAGUGAUGGUACCAUGGAGUGGGUUUGGCUGUGUGAGUCUGCAUGUGCUUAUAUGGCGUGUAUGUACACAUUACAGGGUGUAUCAGAGUGGAUGUGCAUGGCUGUCAUUCCCUUUAACACUCAGAGGGUGAACUGGACAAAUUUAAAUCAAUAAAUACAUUAGGUGGAUGUUGUUGUCUCACCUGCAAUAAUGUAUUCAGUAAAUAAUUUCACCAUCUGGCUUCUGCAGGGGUACAGGGCUUUGGAGUUUGGGGCAGAGUCAGACCCAAUUGUCCAGCAUUGCAGGAGCCAGCAACAUGGGUUGGCAUCACCUCAAAUUGCCAGGUGGGACCAGGGUGUUUUGCCUGGGGGCUAAACCUGCCUCUCCUUGCCAAACAGGGGCAAAACAUAACCGGCCUAAAGUUGCAGCCCCUUCCCAGCAGACCCCAGUGCUGGGCAGGGAGAUGGGAGGAAAGUGCAAACUACCCUGCAUGGAUAGUCAUCAUUUCAUGCAAACACUGCCAUGGGCUUGUCCUGCUGUGGCCUGGGCCAGAGGCAGAGGUGAUAGCCAGGGGAAGGUAAUGGGGCUGCCUGGGGCAUGGUGGAAUAGGGCACAAUGGGAAGGGACCUAGGCAGCACUG